UACGUAGGUGACAAGCGUUGUCCGGAUUUACUGGGCGUAAAGGGCGCGCAGGCGGUCGUUCAAGUCGGGUGUGAAAGCCCCCGGCUCAACUGGGGAGGGUCAUUCGAUACUGAUCGACUCGAAGGCAGGAGAGGGAAGUGGAAUUCCCGGUGUAGUGGUGAAAUGCGUAGAUAUCGGGAGGAACACCAGUGGCGAAGGCGACUUCCUGGCCUGUUCUUGACGCUGAGGCGCGAAAGCUAGGGGAGCAAACGGG
rnacentral:rRNA from 1 species